rnacentral:rRNA from 2 species
UACGAAGGUGUCUAGCGUUGUUCGGAAUCACUGGGCGUAAAGCGCGCGCAGGCGGACUAUCAAGUCUGAGGUGAAAGCCCGAAGCUCAACUUCGGAAUUGCCUUGGAAACUGAUAGUCUGGAGUGUGAUAGGGGGUAGCGGAAUUCCAAAUGUAGAGGUGAAAUUCGUAGAUAUUUGGAGGAACACCGGUGGCGAAGGCGGCUACCUGGAUCACAACUGACGCUGAGGCGCGAAAGCGUGGGGAUCAAACAGG